AGCAGCCGCGGUAAUUCCAGCUCCAAUAGCGUAUAUUAAAGUUGUUGCAGUUAAAAAGCUCGUAGUUGAAUUUCGGGGUUAGUAGAUUGGUCGUGCCACUGGUAUGUACUGGUCUUACUGAUUCCUCCUUCCUGAUGAACCGUAAUGCCAUUAAUUUGGUGUUGCGGGGAGACUGGACUGUUACUUUGAAAAAAUUAGAGUGUUUAAAGCAGGCUAACGCUUGAAUACAUUAGCAUGGAAUAAUGAAAUAGGACGUUCGAUCCUAUUUUGUUGGUUUCUAGGAUUGACGUAAUGAUUAAUAGGGAUAGUUGGGGGCAUUAGUAUUCAAUUGUCAGAGGUGAAAUUCUUGGAUUUAUUGAAGACUAACUACUGCGAAAGCAUUUGCCAAGGAUGUUUUCAUUAAUCAAGAACGAAAGUUAGGGGAUCGAAGACGAUCAGAUACCGUCGUAG
rnacentral:rRNA from 1 species